GUGGGGAAUUUUGGACAAUGGGCGCAAGCCUGAUCCAGCAAUGCCGCGUGCAGGAAGAAGGCCUUCGGGUUGUAAACUGCUUUUGUACGGAACGAAACGGUCCGGGUUAAUACCCUGGGCUAAUGACGGUACCGUAAGAAUAAGCACCGGCUAACUACGUGCCAGCAGCCGCGGUAAUACGUAGGGUGCAAGCGUUAAUCGGAAUUACUGGGCGUAAAGCGUGCGCAGGCGGUUUUGUAAGACAGGCGUGAAAUCCCCGGGCUCAACCUGGGAAUUUCGCUUGUGACUGCAAGGCUGGAGUGCGGCAGAGGGGGAUGGAAUUCCGCGUGUAGCAGUGAAAUGCGUAGAUAUGCGGAGGAACACCGAUGGCGAAGGCAAUCCCCUGAGCCUGCACUGACGCUCAUGCACGAAAGCGUGGGGAGCAAACAGGAUUAGAUACCCGAGUAGUCC
rnacentral:rRNA from 1 species